AAAUAAAAAUCUGAGAAAAGGAAAACGUGGGAAGGAAGGAAAAGAGGGGAAGAGAAAAAAAAUAUCUCAAGCAAGGUCAAAUGUCAUAUUUUUCAAUGGUCCAAAGUUAAAUUAAUUUUGCAAAUAAAAAAGGACAAGUGUCACAAGGUGAUUGGUCCUCUAAUUUAAUUUAAAAACAAACUAACUCUUUUAUCUUUACUAAUUAAAUUAAAAAUGAACAAACACAAAUUAAAAUCGAAACAAAAAUUCAGAU
rnacentral:lncRNA from 1 species